UACGUAGGGUGCGAGCGUUGUCCGGAAUUACUGGGCGUAAAGAGCUCGUAGGUGGUUUGUCGCGUUGUCCGUGAAAACUCACAACUCAAUUGUGGGCGUGCGGGCGAUACGGGCAGACUGGAGUACUGCAGGGGAGACUGGAAUUCCUGGUGUAGCGGUGGAAUGCGCAGAUAUCAGGAGGAACACCGGUGGCGAAGGCGGGUCUCUGGGCAGUAACUGACGCUGAGGAGCGAAAGCGUGGGGAGCAACAGG
rnacentral:rRNA from 1 species